rnacentral:rRNA from 1 species
UUUUUUAAUUGAAAGCUUGUAUGAAGGGUUGAAUGAAAUAUAAACUGUUUCAUAAAAAUUUAAAUAGAAUUUUAUAUUUAAGUUAAAAAGCUUAAAUAAUUUUAUAAGACGAGAAGACCCUAUAAAGUUUUAUAUUUAAUUUAUAAUAAUUUAUGUAGAAUUUUUAAAAUUUUUAUAUAUUUAAUUAUUUUGUUGGGGAGAUAAUAAAAUUUACAAAACUUUUAUUUUUUUAUUUCAUUGAUUAAUGAUUUAAUGAUCCUUUAUUAAAGAUUAAAAAUUUAAAUUACUUUAGGGAUAACAGCGUAAUUUUUUUUUUAAGUUCAAAUUUAUAAGAAAGUUUGC